AUGGCCAGUGCCCUGAGGAAGUGGAGUAAAGGAUUGUUUAGUGAUGCAAAGCUGCAAUUCCACAUGGCUCAAGAGAUUAUCCUACGCCUUGAAACCGCUCAGGAGAACAGGGCCCUAUCUGAUGCAGAAUGGGAGCUGCAUAAAAAGCUCAAGUUACGACUAUUAGGUCUAGCUGCGAUCGAACGGGCGAGAAAGAAACAGAGCUCCUGA
rnacentral:rRNA from 1 species